rnacentral:misc_RNA from 1 species
UCCCCCGUGAGGGGGCAGUCUCGCCUGACACAUAUAACAGGCAACGAGGGUUGCGUUCGUUUCCCCACUUAAGGGAACAACUCAAGCCACGAACUGACGACGGCCAUGCAUCACCUGUCCAACACCCUCGAAGGAACUCUGGUUUCCCAGAGCGUGCAGUUGGAUUUCUAAUCUUGAUAAGGUUCUUCGCUUAGCUACGAAUUAAGCCACAUGAUCCACCGCUUGUGCGAGUCCCCGUCUAUUCCUUUGAGUUUUAGCCUUGCGGCCGUACUACCCAGGCGGCUCGCUUACCGCGUUAGCUUCGCCUCGGAGAGGGUCGAUACUCCCCAAAGCCAGCGAGCAACGUUUAGGGCGUGGACUAC